CACGUGAGCAACCUGCCCUUGGCUCUGGGAUAGCCUCCGGAAACGGGGAUUAAUACCGGACAUGACCUGUGACGGCAUCUUCACGGGUGGAAAGUUUUUCGGCCAGGGAUGGGCUCGCGGCCUAUCAGCUUGUUGGAGGGGUAACGGCCCACCAAGGCGACGACGGGUAGCCGGCCUGAGAGGGCGACCGGCCACACUGGGACUGAGACACGGCCCAGACUCCUACGGGAGGCAGCAGUGGGGAAUAUUGCACAAUGGGGGAAACCCUGAUGCAGCGACGCCGCGUGCGGGAUGAAGGCC
rnacentral:rRNA from 1 species